AACAACAACAAGAUUAGCAGCGAUUGGGGACCAGUUCCUGGUCCAAAAAUGUAUUGAAACGAGCUGAUCGACUGCCAAGUGAUAAUGUCUUACAACGGGCAAGUGAUAAUGAAUUACAUGCGGCAAAAUAUUGGUUUACAAUUCCAUACAAAAACAAUUAACCAGUUCCGCUCCGCCUACAUGAUAGAUUUAUGAUAAUAUUGAGUUUUUGAAGCUUGGUAAAACUUCGCAAAGUAUCUCAAAUUUGGCAAAAUCCACCUUGGUUCAUGUUCUUCGCCAUACAUUUCGGAUGUAGUACAUACCAAUGCUCCGUACUGGUCCCCGGAAGUAAUUUUCGCGUAUAUAAUUUGGCUUCACUUUUGGCACCUAUAGUCUAUAGAAGCUAUAUCCAGUCUACUAUUAGAUCGGUGGUAAGGCUAAUCCAAAUUAGACUUUAGUUUCCCAUCUGGCCUUUAUUUCAAAUUACACGCGGGCGGUCCAUUAUGCAUUAUGUCUGAAAGUAUCUGACACUAAUCCAUGAAAUAGAUACACGAUUAAGUAUACAUUCAGCCACGAUUCUAUACGAAUUUGUUUUGGAUUUUUUCAGCAGAAAUGAAAUCCAGUAUAUUAAUUAACGGCAUUACUUCCAAAGAUCUUCAAACAAUGCCUAAAAUAUAUUCUUAAACGGCAAUAUUUUCAAAGAUCUUCAAACAAUACCUAAUUUACCGUACAUGUGUAAAUAAAUUUAAAUAUACGCGCGAUUUUUAUAAAUCUGAUUAUUGCGCGAUUAUUGAUGGCAAUUGUAUCGAAAAUCUAUAGAUUGAAUGAGAUAAAAGGAACAUUAAAAACUUACCUAUGUUGGCAAAAACAUAGAAUAAAUAACAACCUCGCAAGCCAAGGCUCUCUACUUUCGCUUCCCUCCCAAACAUGCUCCGACAGAAACCCUCUCACGCUGAUCACACGAUAUCUUAAUUAAAACUCGCUUUGUCCCGUGGGAGGGUCGGCUGAAGUAUGUGAAAUUCUGGGAGUGUUUAUUUUGAAUGUCGUGUAUUAUGAUCAAAAUAUAUUAUUUACUUUAGUUGUUUUGAUUUUUGUAUUGUAAAAUGUAUCACCAGAAAAUGGUAUUAUUUCUUAAAGCCUUAAUUAAGCCGGAUUUCCACUACUACCUUGUUAACAGCUUAUUCCAACUGGGAACAAGCAGUGCGAACACAACUUGUCGACAGCUUGUGAACAGAUUUGUAACAACUUGUUUGUAGACCUGUAACAACUUGUGCGUUUUUACGCGUGUAAUUCAUUAUCACUUGCCCCUUGAAGACUGCAGACUGGCAGUCGAAAGCUCGUUUCAAUAACUUGAUUUUUAAAACCAGAGAACGUCCAAACUAUUAAUAUGAAUAAUCCUGGUUACGCUUCUACCAUUUUUCAGUGUUCCAGGCCGGCUGUUAUCAGUUGGUAAAAUGUGCUGCAAGUUGAAAAGUCCCAGCCUCGUCCUCCCAUCCAAAGUAUGACCAGCAGGGGCGGACAUUCACUUUUCCCGCUGGGGGAAAAUUUCCGACAAAACUUUAAAAUUUCCGACAACCGCCUC